UGCAGCGACGCCGCGUGAGGGAUGACGGCCUUCGGGUUGUAAACCUCUUUCAGCAGGGACGAAGCGCAAGUGACGGUACCUGCAGAAGAAGCACCGGCCAACUACGUGCCAGCAGCCGCGGUAAGACGUAGGGUGCGAGCGUUGUCCGGAUUUAUUGGGCGUAAAGAGCUCGUAGGCGGCUUGUCGCGUCGACCGUGAAAACUUGGGGCUCAACCCCAAGCCUGCGGUCGAUACGGGCAGGCUAGAGUUCGGUAGGGGAGACUGGAAUUCCUGGUGUAGCGGUGAAAUGCGCAGAUAUCAAGAGGAACACCGGUGGCGAAGGCGGGUCUCUGGGCCGAUACUGACGCUGAGGAGCGAAAGCGUGGGGAGCGAACAGGAUUAGAUACCCUGGUAGUCCACGCUGUAAACGUUGGGCGCUAGGUGUGGGGGGCCCCUCCGGUUCUCUGUGCCGCAGCUAACGCAUUAAGCGCCCCGCCUGGGGAGUACGGCCGCAAGGCUAAAACUCAAAGGAAUUGACGGGGGCCCGCACAAGCGGCGGAGCAUGCGGAUUAAUUCGAUGCAACGCGAAGAACCUUACCUGGGUUUGACAUGGCCGCAAAACUUCCAGAGAUGGGAGGUCCUU
rnacentral:rRNA from 1 species